rnacentral:rRNA from 1 species
GACGAACGCUGGCGGCGUGCUUAACACAUGCAAGUCGAGCGGUAAGGCCCUUUCGGGGGUACACGAGCGGCGAACGGGUGAGUAACACGUGGGUGACCUGCCCUCAGCUCUGGGAUAAGCCUGGGAAACUGGGUCUAAUACUGGAUAUGACUCCACGGUGCAUGUCGUGGGGGUGGAAAGCCUUGUGCGGCUGAGGAUGGGCCCGCGGCCUAUCAGCUUGUUGGUGGGGGUGAUGGCCUACCAAGGCGACGACGGGUAGCCGGCCUGAGAGGGCGACCGGCCACACUGGGACUGAGACACGGCCCAGACUCCUACGGGAGGGCAGCAGUGGGGAAUCUUGCGCAAUGGGGCGAAAAGCCUGACGCAGCGACGCCGCGUGAGGGAUGACGGCCUCG